ensembl:lncRNA
CUUACAAAUCACUUCAAAUGCAAUUGUAAUAGACAGGGGAGAGUUAAACAGGCAUUAGCUAAAUGUGGGCCUAAAACGGUUUUGCUGCUGUAUUCUUGAACUGCUCAGCCACUAGAGGAAGACACCUCCCUGGAACUGGCUCCUCCUGAAGAGUAGGGGAAGUCUGCAGACCUGGAGCAGGCAGAUGUGAUUGUGCAGCCCAGGCAGUAUUACGCCCCUGUUGUUCCUGAUGCGUCCAGUAGGAGGAGGCUGUACAGUAUGAGCCAUCAGAACAGACCAAGUCUAGAAGCGACACGAACAAGGCGAGGUAUGUUUAAUAAUGGCUAUUAUUGUUAUUAUUGUUCAGCAAUCGUGCAACGUUGCAACAUUUAUAAUUAAAUGAUUAGCUAAAAGUCGAUGUCAAUUAAUUUCAAUAUUUCUAUAGAUAGGUCUAUAUAAUUUAAAUAGAAUGCAUAAAUCAUACUAUUUGACAUCUACCGUAAGUCAGAAGUAAAAUAAAAAGUAUUCUUUAUUGAUGUUAUUUGUGUGUUUAGGAUAAUGCUGACAUAAGGAUGCCUUUGGGUUCCCUGCAUGAACACAAACCACCAGCCCAGACUAUUAUCUAUUAUGUGAAAGAUUUUACAUGGUGUAGCUCAUAAGAAUAUAGUAACUACUAAACUUUGUGGGUUGGAGGGAUUAUUCUUUUAUGCUGGUUUUAUGGAGGGUGAUUUUACCCCAGUAUCAUAAGGCAAAGAUAAUGCAAAUGUGUGUAUUGUCAUAACACUAUCUUUACUCCCUGGCCACAACCAUUGCUUAUACAUCCCUAUAGGUACUGAAGCCACUGUUAAGAGAGAUCUUCUAGACUCCUUGUAUAGUAAUCAAAGCUUGGUUUUGGAGAUGACUAGUAGAAAGACAUCUUUAGGUCCACAGCUAAGAGAUGAUUGCCACGUUCCGAUGGCAUAUAACAUAGACAGUAUGUCCUCUACACCAUGCUGAACACUCCAUUCAAUGUCCCUCAGAUUGAUAUUCCUGCAACCAGGGAGUGGUGGUGUCUAUGUCUUAUUGAGCAGUUUGAGACAGAGGGGUAUGUGUACCAGUUUCUGUACAUCUCAGUUUGUUGUAUCAUUGAAGUCUCUUCCUUGCCAAUGGAAAUAACUGACCAAAGUAAGGCAACACAGUAAAAUGAAAAAUGCAAUAAAUCAUCAUCAUAGUCAUAAGGCA